rnacentral:rRNA from 1 species
UGGGGAAUAUUGCACAAUGGGCGCAAGCCUGAUGCAGCCAUGCCGCGUGUAUGAAGAAGGCCUUCGGGUUGUAAAGUACUUUCAGCGAGGAGGAAGGCAUUGUGGUUAAUAACCGCAGUGAUUGACGUUACUCGCAGAAGAAGCACCGGCUAACUCCGUGCCAGCAGCCGCGGUAAUACGGAGGGUGCAAGCGUUAAUCGGAAUUACUGGGCGUAAAGCGCACGCAGGCGGUCUGUCAAGUCGGAUGUGAAAUCCCCGGGCUCAACCUGGGAACUGCAUCCGAAACUGGCAGGCUAGAGUCUUGUAGAGGGGGGUAGAAUUCCAGGUGUAGCGGUGAAAUGCGUAGAGAUCUGGAGGAAUACCGGUGGCGAAGGCGGCCCCCUGGACAAAGACUGACGCUCAGGUGCGAAAGCGUGGGGAGCAAACA